rnacentral:rRNA from 1 species
UACGUAGGGGGCGAGCGUUGUCCGGAUUUAUUGGGCGUAAAGAGCUCGUAGGCGGUUCGAUAAGUCGGACGUGAAAUCUCCACGCUCAACGUGGAGGGGCCGUUCGAUACUGUCGGACUAGAGUACAGAAGGGGCAACUGGAAUUCUCGGUGUAGCGGUGAAAUGCGUAGAUAUCGAGAGGAACACCUGCGGCGAAGGCGGGUUGCUGGGCUGAUACUGACGCUGAGGCGCGAAAGCCAGGGGAGCGAACGGG